ACCAGGGUGAUGUGAAAAAGAGAUACUUCUCAAGCCUGGAGAUGAGACCUGGGUUACAGGAACUAGUGACAGAGUUAUGUAAAACCAAGCUUCACAGAAAAAGCUUGGACAGAAAAGCUGACUCAGUAUCUCUGAGUUACGUAUAUCUUCACAGGGGAGGAGAUGCAAACUGAGGCCCUGCUCACACACUCCAUCCACCUGGUAUAGCUUGCCUGCUUCCAAAUUAUCAGCCUGGCAAACUCAUGGUACCAAGUAAGGACAAAUGUCAUAGUCCUCCUGGGAAAUGGGCAACAGUGAAUUUUGCUAAUAAGGUGGAAAGUAAUUUUUAAGUGAUAUUUGGAUUAAAAUUGUGAUUUUUAAAACAUUA